GACGGAGGGUGCAAGCGUUGUUCGGAAUUACUGGGCGUAAAGGGCGCGUAGGCGGUCUGUUAAGUUCGGUGUGAAAGCCCCCGGCUCACCUGGGGAACUGCGCCGGAAACCGACAGACUCGAGUACCGGAGAGGAGGGUGGAAUUCCUGGUGUAGCGGUGAAAUGCGUAGAUAUCAGGAGGAACACCGGUGGCGAAGGCGGCCCUCUGGACGGAUACUGACGCUGGAGGCGACGAAAGCGUGGGGAUCAAACAGGA
rnacentral:rRNA from 1 species